CCUACGGGUGGCAGCAGUGAGGAAUAUUGGUCAAUGGGCGCAAGCCUGAACCAGCCAAGCAGCGUGCAGGAAGACUGCCCUACGAGUUGUAAACUUCUUUUGUAAAAGGAUAAAGGGAGGCACGUGUACCUGUUUGAACGUACUUUAUGAAUAAGGAUCGGCUAACUCCGUGCCAGCAGCCGCGGUAAUACGGAGGAUUCAAGCGUUAUCCGGAUUUAUUGGGUUUAAAGGGAGCGUAGAUGGGUUGUUAAGUCAGUUGUGAAAGUCUGAGGCUCAACCUGAGAAUUGCAAUUGAUACUGGCAGUCUUGAGUACAGUUGAGGUAGGCGGAAUUCGUGGUGUAGCGGUGAAAUGCUUAGAUAUCACGAAGAACCCCGAUUGCGAAGGCAGCUUACUAAGCUGUGACUGACAUUGAUGCUCGAAAGUGUGGGUAGCAAACAGGAUUAGAUACCCGUGUAGUC
rnacentral:rRNA from 1 species